rnacentral:snRNA from 1 species
GUUCUCCUUCCAGCAGCACAUAUAACUAAAAUUUAAAUAAUGCAGAGAUGAUAACCAUAGCCCCUAUACAAGUAUGACACAAAUUCAUGAAGUGUUCCAUUAAUAA